GUGACAAUAAGUUAACUGGUAAACUUUGGCACUUCCAAUGCUACUAUAUGUGUUCGAUCCACAUUUGUCAUA